CUGGCUCCGGUUCACGUCGUGCACUCAGCACCGACGACCCGGCGCC
rnacentral:ncRNA from 1 species